rnacentral:piRNA from 1 species
UACUAUACCAAACAGCAGAAACUAACUA